rnacentral:misc_RNA from 1 species
AAGAAAAACGGGCAAGAAUUUUAAACCGAUGAUUUUGAAUGGAAGUUAAUUAGCCUCUGUCAGUCAUAUAACCAGCAUGUUUCGUGAAGUUCUGUAAUGGCUAACAGUGUAAGCAUUUGUUCUUGUUUAUGGGUGACCUCUACUACGCUAUAGCUCUUGUGCAUAAAGUCUGUAGCGGGGAUAUUCCCUGUAAUCAUAAAGUUAAUAUGUGUGCCAUCCUACUAGUAAUAAUAUUCGUAGUCAAAUUCCAACUGCAAUCUUUAUUCUCCUGUAGAUUCCUGCGUUCGUCAUCACAAAAUAAUUAAAAGGUUUAAAAGUGUGACGGUGCUAGACAUUUGAGAUAACUCAUCCAGCAAGGUGCCAUUCAAAGAAUACUAUAUGACGCCAUUAGGGCUGGAUGGAUUUACAGCAAAUAUAAUUAGUCCUUGUUCCACAGCUCCAGACCAGAUUACAUUUCAUGAGAGUUCAGUAGGAGACCUGAACGACGAGCUUCCUUUGAAAGUACCUCUAGUUGCUGCAGAUGAACUGCCUGACGACACUCCGCUGACCGUUGAAAUAGCCGUUGCCAAUGACGCAAGCAUGGUCAAACGAUUGACUGUGAUAUCGUUUAUGGCGUGUCAGAUGGAACCAAACUCGUUAGAAUUGAAAUUGAAACAAGGAAUAUUUCUACAAUUGUUCUCCAUGCUUUCGUAUUGACUUGAAGUCUAGGGAGACCAAAACAAGCAUAAAAGCAUUUGCUCGGUCCCAGUACUUCAUGCCUACGGAAAGCGCCUUUCCAGAUCAGUUUGUGUUCACGUUGAAGUUGGAUAAACCUUGGAGCUCGUGUUUUAUCCCACAGUACGGCUUUACUAACACAGCAGAGAACCAUCGUACCUCGAUGCGACUGAAGUUCAGCAAAGGUCUUAUUCUUCAAGUUUAUAAUGACAGAGCUUACGAGAAAGUUGGUAUCAAGUACCUCAAGGUCACCAUUAUGAAAACAGAAUAAAGGAGAAAACUACCACUUUUUCUUAUCGAUGUUACGAACGAUCCAAAUAAAUGUUAGUCAAGACAAGAACAUCCUGAGUUUUUCUUGUCGUUGUUGUAGAGUAUUUUAAUUUUAUACCUCUCGCAUAACCUUAACUUUAAUUCAAUUUUCUAGAAUGUUAGAUGAAGUAGCAGCCAUCCAGCUAGCGUCGGUUAGCGGGUUGUUCGCAACCUCCAAACAUUGGUAUGAGAAUCAGCCUCCGGGACAGAUCACUCCCGUACUCCAUGUGAAUCAAAAUUUUUCGUGGCCAGUAUUUGAUUUAUUUUUAGUAUUCUUUUCCGGCCUCGGCCGUGCCAUUGAUUGGGGGACUGAUGACCUCGUAGAAUUUAUACACAUUGCCCGUUACUUUACUAGUCCGCGUUUUACUAGUCCGCGCUUUACUAGUCCGCGUUUUACUAGUCCAGUCCAGUCCAGUCCGCGAAAUACCAUAUGCCAUUACUUGAUGGUUCAUGAGCACUUCUUGAGUCAUGUCUUUCGGGGCCCCUUUCCGGAUAAUUUUUGCUCUUUGUUUGAAGAGAAUCAGCUUUGCGAAGUAAUAUUUACUUUGAAAAUAAUAAAUUAACUUUCUCUGGCCCGUAGCCUUUUAGUUCAAGCGUCGCGCGAGUACGAAGAAGUUUUUAUUUUUGACGAUCUAUUGUCAGCAGCAAGCGUAGUCCACUUAACGACCGCUUGAUUGGGUUAGGGCUGAAUUAAUAGUUAUGAAUUUAAAAAAAAAAAUAGUUAUUUUGUAUUAGAUAGUUGAGUCUUGCAUGUAAUCUUUCCCUCACCAUACGCAUCGAGGACGAUGCUUAAUUUAGGCGGGGAGGAAUGUUGUAGAGUAUUUUAAAGGAUUGCUAUUUUGAGUAUUUUUAGGUUUACCUUUUGUUUUGUUAAGUCUCGCUUUUUGCCUCGACAUGUUGUUUUUGUAGUUCUUUUGCCUUGACCUUAUGUUUCUAGUAUGUACUUAAACUAUUCUUAGUCCACGGAUUUUUCUUGUUACCUUGUUAGACCUAAUAAUCGCUUGUUGUGGUUGGAAAUGGCUACUUUUGUAGGUGGUCGUGUUUGUGUGGUAAAGUUGACCUUGAGUUUUACCCACGCCAAGGAUCCUGUUUGUGUAUACGAUUCUUGCGCGCAGCCUUGCUGUUAGCAUUUGAUUGGUUCUGUAAUGUUGGCCGGAUACUUUAGAGGGAGCUCCUCGAUUUCGCCCUUGCAAAGUAAAAGAAUAUACAAUGAAAGUUCUCACGGUCAACCAACCCAAACAUGUCCACCAUUUUCCCUACUUAAUGCGUAGAGAUUAAUAGUUGCUAGUUGUGCUAGUUGCUAGUUGCUAGUUGCUAGUUGCAGUAACCCGUUGUGGUAGUUGUAGCAGUUGUAAUAGUAGUUGCAGAAAGAGAAGAGAGAAGCUUUAAGAAAAGAAAUCGUUAAAGGGCUAGACCAGAGUCUCAGUACCUCUCGUUAAUUUGUUAAGCGAGUCGCCUAACACGCCCCCAACAUCUUUAAAAACUUUGUUGUUAUUAACAUAAAAUAAACUUGCCGCUUUCUCUCGGAAAAAAAAAUUAUGGGACGUUACUAUUAAUUUGUAUAUUACUUUAUCUCUGUUCCUUUUACCGAAGUUCCCGAGUAUUAUCCAGGUAAAUGAAGAUACUGGGGUAUUUUAAAUCUCUGUAUAAGAGACGCCUUCAGACUUUCUUAAUUAUAUUGUACAAGAGCUUGUUUUUUAACCGCUAUCCAGGCUAUCUAAAGAAUAU